GAUGAACGCUGGCGGCGUGCUUAACACAUGCAAGUCGAACGGGAGACCUGUUAUUGAAGCUUCGGCAGAUUUAGCUGGUUUCUAGUGGCGGACGGGUGAGUAACGCGUGGGUAACCUGCCCUAUACAGGGGGAUAACAACCAGAAAUGGUUGCUAAUACCGCAUAAGCGCACAGGACCGCAUGGUCCGGUGUGAAAAACUCCGGUGGUAUAGGAUGGACCCGCGUUGGAUUAGCCAGUUGGCAGGGUAACGGCCUACCAAAGCGACGAUCCAUAGCCGGCCUGAGGGGGUGAACGGCCACAUUGGGACUGAGACACGGCCCAGACUCCUACGGGAGGCAGCAGUGGGGAAUAUUGCACAAUGGGGGAAACCCUGAUGCAGCGACGCCGCGUGAAGGAAGAAGUAUCUCGGUAUGUAAACUUCUAUCAGCAGGGAAGAUAGUGACGGUACCUGACUAAGAAGCCCCGGCUAACUACGUGCCAGCAGCCGCGGUAAUACGUAGGGGGCAAGCGUUAUCCGGAUUUACUGGGUGUAAAGGGAGCGUAGACGGAUUAGCAAGUCUGAUGUGAAAGGCAGGGGCUCAACCCCUGGACUGCAUUGGAAACUGCCAGUCUUGAGUGCCGGAGAGGUAAGCGGAAUUCCUAGUGUAGCGGUGAAAUGCGUAGAUAUUAGGAGGAACACCAGUGGCGAAGGCGGCUUACUGGACGGCAACUGA
rnacentral:rRNA from 1 species